rnacentral:misc_RNA from 1 species
GCGAAAUUUCAGUGUGUUCAUUUAUUGUAGAGGGGUUCCUUGGUGUUUCUUUUUGAGUUUAUAUAUUCCAUAACAGUUAUUUAAAAAGUGAAGUGUUUUCUUUUUGAUAAAUAUUACAAGCAUUUAACAACGACGUAGAUGUCGAAAUAACAAAAAAUAAAUUUCUAAAUAUCUGGUCGACAUACUUCAACAUGUGACACACAGAGCCAUGAUCUCCCUCCUUCUCACAUACAUGGAAUCAUCAUGAGUGAUCCCAACAAAUUCGACGGCAUUCACUGCCGUCGACAUGUAGGUGGAUAUAAUCCAAUAUCCAACCGAAAAAAUCGCAAACUCACAGACAUCCUCCGAGCUAGACGUCUUCGCAUUGGACGUUCCUCAAACCCUAACGGUAGUAACAGCAACAAUAAUGUGGGCUCCAUAUCUGACAGUCUCAACUUUAAUUCAGAGGCUUCGAAUCUCAGUGCUCAUCGAACAACGAGUAACAGUCAUUCCGGAAUCACAAGGAAUAAUUCCAUCAAUUCCUAUCAGAGUGCACGGAGCUAUAGGAGUAUUAAAAGUAAUGGAACCGCACUCACAAACUUGUCAUCCUCAUUUGGCGGUGGGAGAGGCAGUAUUUCAAAGUCAUCAAAAGAGAAAUUCUAUCGUAAUUCAAAGUACGAUGAUGAAGUAUCGGAGGGACAGUUGGGUAUUAAUGAAAAGGAUUUGAAUAGCAUGAACAAGCAUAUUCCAGCUCUUAAAAGCUAUGGAAAAGGCGCCACGCUUCGACAGCAUUACUACCCCGAGGGUGGUUGGGGUUGGGUCAUCACUUUCUGCUGUUUCCUUGUGGAACUAUUUACGACGGGUUUACAAUUAUCAUUCAGUAUUCUUUAUCUGGAAAUCAUCGAAUAUACGGGACAAGAAUAUACUACUAGCACAACAUGGUUGGGGUCCACAAAUUUCUCUCUAUCAUGUUUCAUGGCCCCUUUAUUCGUAGCACUCUGUCGACGGAAGAGUACACGUCUCAUUUCCAUCAUCGGAGGUCUAGUGAUGUCAUUGUCUAUGCUCUUUACGUCAUUUGCUAAGGAGUUUCAUCAAGUUUUCUUGAGCUAUGGAAUCAUGUGUGGCAUUGGAAUAUCCAUGGUUCGAGAAACAGCAACGAUAAUGCUAUCACAAUACUUUAAACGAAGAAGAGAACUCGUAGAAAUGUUCUCUGGCUCCGGAGCUGGCUUUGGUAUUGCUUUAUUCUCCAAUGUUUAUUCCUCGGGCAUUAGUUCCUAUGGCUGGCGCUUUGGACUGCAGUUGAUCAGCAUCCCCCUCAUUUCCUUAUUUUUCCUAGGGUUGUUCUAUCGCUCUGCAAGUCUAUAUCAUCCUCAAAGAAGGGCCAUCCUUCAUCUCAAAGACAUGUCCAAACGCAAGGGGAAGGAUAAAAACAAGUCGGAGAGUAAACCACCUUAUUUUGACUUUGCCUCACUUAAAAUCCGAUCUUUUCGAAUCGUUUUAGUCAGCACCGUCUUUACCUCUAUGGGCGUUUAUACUCCACUCUUUUUCUUUGUUCCAAUGGCUCAGAAGGAAGGGAUUCAAGAUAACGUCAUACUCUUACAAACAUUUUUAGGCCUUGGAGUUUCUUUGGGGAUAUUUGGGUUUGGUUUCGUCGUGUUGUCAAAGAGUAAUCAGUGUCUGAUAUCAAGGCAAUAUUUAGUCCAAACAUCUAUUUUUGGGAUCGCCAUUUCCAUAUUUGCUCUGAUCUCAGUGGAGGGUUACCAUGGAUAUUUGCUUUUUACUUGGAUGUACGGAGUUUUUUUUGGUGGAUAUCUCUAUUCCCUGAAAGUGUAUACAUAUGAACGCCUUCGAGUAAAGCACUUCAACCGAGGAUGGGGCUUCAUACGAGGAGUACAAUCCUUACCUAUACUAACCGGCAUUCCAAUAUCUAUGUACACCAACACUGGAAAUUCGAAAUCCGGCUUUUACUUUUCCUCGCAUCCUCACUUCUUGGAGGAUUUAUUUUAUUUUGUGCCGGAGAUAGUGGGAGUGGAGGACCCCCUCGAGGAGGGGGACUCUACUACGCCUCCUCCAAACAAGAACUGUCCAAAACUGAUACAAAUCUCACUCUGGAGCUUUUGCCACAUCCUCAGCAUCAUGGAAGACAAAGUAGAGAAUAUAUCAGAUCUGCCUCUGGAGGCAUUGCUGGCUUUACGUCAUCGGAAAUGAAUUCGACGUCUUCUUCAGGUCAGCCGAUAGGGAACAAUGAAGAAGAGCGGGAAAAUAGUCUGCGCUGUACUUGCAGUACAAGUAAUGAAGAAGCUCAAAAGUUGGAUUUGGAGGACGAUGAGGAUGAAGAAGACGAAGAGGAUGAUAUCAUCCUCCCAGUAGAGGAGGACGAAGAGGAUAUUUUAGUGGAGAAGGAUAAUUCUUCUUCCUCAUACGCGGAUCCAGAAUCCGGAAUACAAGAAAUUGAUGAGUUAGAAAUCCUACGAAAGCAUUUAGGGAAACGGAAAUUGACUUGUAUAUCCGAAGAAACACUUAAUGACUCGGAUUUGAUCCUCAUUAACACGGAGAAAGAAAGCCGGUUGGGAUCACGCUGUUCAUCAGAGCCCGAAAUCUCUGCAUUUGAAAACAAAUCAAUUUUAAUUUUGUAGGUUGCUAUGUAUGUACGAGUAUAUCCAAAAUGUACUGAAGAGAGUCUUCUUUAAAUUAGACUUCAGGCCUAGGUAUCAUUCAAAUUACUUAUUAGUCAUUUUGUUACUUUAUAAUGCUGUAUCUUUCCCCACCCUCUACCCCCUAUUUUAUUAAUGCCAUCAGUAUUUUUCUUAGUGGUGCAGGAUCAAUGAUUUAUUUCAAAGAUACAAACUUUCCAUUUGAUUUUUUAAACUAUUUUUUUAAUGUAAGGAUUUUUUUAAAUGUCCUAUUUUUUUUCACGUCAUGAUUCAAAUUAAUAAGAGUUUUUUUGUUGUUUUUUUUCGUUUUUGUUUUUUUAUUUACAAAGGUGUCUUUCAAAAAUAUUUAUUUUCAAGAAGAAGAGGGGGAAAAAUUCAAACUGUCAGUUAUUUUUCUAGUCAUUUACAAACUGAUUAUUUGAUUUUUCAAAUAUCUUUAUUAUUUAUUUAUUAUUUAUUCUGUAA